AUUGAACGCUGGCGGCAGGCCUAACACAUGCAAGUCGAGCGGAUGAAGGGAGCUUGCUCCUGGAUUCAGCGGCGGACAGGUGAGUAAUGCCUAGGAAUCUGCCUGGUAGUGGGGGAUAACGUCCGGAAACGGGCGCUAAUACCGCAUACGUCCUGAGGGAGAAAGUGGGGGAUCUUUGGACCUCACGCUAUCAGAUGAGCCUAGGUCGGAUUAGCUAGUUGGUGGGGUAAUGGCCUACCAAGGCGACGAUCCGUAACUGGUCUGAGAGGAUGAUCAGUCACACUGGAACUGAGACACGGUCCAGACUCCUACGGGAGGCAGCAGUGGGGAAUAUUGGGCAAUGGGCGAAAGCCUGAUCCAGCCAUGCCGCGUGUGUGAAGAAGGUCUUCGGAUUGUAAAGCACUUUAAGUUGGGAGGAAGGGCAGUAAGUUAAUACCUUGCUGUUUUGACGUUACCAACAGAAUAAGCACCGGCUAACUUCGUG
rnacentral:rRNA from 1 species